AACGAACGCUGGCGGCAUGCCUAAUACAUGCAAGUCGAACGAACACUUCGGUGUUAGUGGCGCACGGGUGCGUAACGCGUGGGAAUCUGCCCUUGGGUUCGGAAUAACGUCGGGAAACUGACGCUAAUACCGGAUGAUGACGUAAGUCCAAAGAUUUAUCGCCCAAGGAUGAGCCCGCGUAGGAUUAGGUAGUUGGUGAGGUAAAGGCUCACCAAGCCUACGAUCCUUAGCUGGUCUGAGAGGAUGAUCAGCCACACUGGGACUGAGACACGGCCCAGACUCCUACGGGAGGCAGCAGUAGGGAAUAUUGGACAAUGGGGGCAAUCCUGAUCCAGCAAUGCCGCGUGAGCGAUGAAGGCCUUAGGGUUGUAAAGCUCUUUUACCCGGGAUGAUAAUGACAGUACCGGGAGAAUAAGCCCCGGCUAACUCCGUGCCAGCCGCCGCGGUAACAC
rnacentral:rRNA from 1 species